GAAGGAGCUAUAAUAUGGAGCGAAGGAAAACUGCUUUACCACUUUAACCUCUCACAGUCUGAGAAAGAAAUUACAAAGAAAACGAACCUCUUCUUAAGCCAGUAUCCCACCUUGUACCUACUACCUUCAUGAACAAAACCCUCUUCCUGAUGUGCUUUUGAAUCCACUCGCAUGGUGGUCAAUGGGGGAGCAUACUGUCAGGGUUUCCAAGCAUCUGUGUUUCCCAGGUUGGAGUUUUUGCUGAAGAAAACAUGAAAAACAAGACAUCUAAAUUUAACUUCAUAAAUAUGAGAUGUUGUCUGAUUCUACGUGUCAUGAACCAAACUUAUGACAUCAGCAAAUGUAUUUGAGACACUGAAGGUAUGAGUUAACACAUUCUGUGAGCAGGCAGCAGGUUUUGAUAAACAGUAUCUGGAGUAUAUUAUCCUUAGUGCUGGUCCUGCAAAAGAGAUAGGAGCUGCAACAAUCAGUGUCAUCUGUGUAAAGGAUGAUCCUGACCCCACUGAAGGACUGAUAUCCUGGUUUGGCCAUGGCCAUCCCCAUCACCAGCAAGGUGCCUGGGGCCCAGGGAUGGAGCUACCCCAGUGCUCAGGCUGUCCUGCUCCUAGCUGGAAGAGUGGAACAGGCCCUGUCUGCCAGAUCUGGCCCUGCCCAAGCCUAGUGAGUCCCUGCUUCUUCCUGAACCUAGAUCCCACAAAGUCACUGGCCAUCAUGGUUCCCUGACACUGAUCAAGAAGAAUUUCGUGAUACAAUUCUUCAGACAACUGGAAAAGCCUUAUGUUUGCAAGGCAACACAAUGACCGGAGCUCUACUGGAGUCAUCAUAUUGAUGCCAAAUGCGGUGGGAAAACUGACUGGCCCAGCGUGUUGCAGCCGUGUAGCUCAUGGACCCCCGCCUGCCUCCUAUGCAGCUGGGAUUACAGGCAUGAGCCACCACACCCAUAUUUUA
ensembl:lncRNA